rnacentral:rRNA from 1 species
UAAUACGUAGGGUGCGAGCGUUAAUCGGAAUUACUGGGCGUAAAGCGUGCGCAGGCGGUUCUCCAAGUCCGUUGUGAAAGCCCCGGGCUCAACCUGGGAAUGGCAGUGGAAACUAGGGGACUGGAAUCUGGCAGAGGGGGGUGGAAUGCCGCGUGUAGCAGUGAAAUGCGUAGAGAUGCGGCGGAACACCGAUGGCGAAGGCAGCCCCCUGGGCUGAGAUUGACGCUCAGGCACGAAAGCGUGGGGAGCAAACAGGAUUAGAUACCCUGGUAGUCCACGCCCUAAACGAUGUCUACUAGUUGUCGGGUCUUAAUUGACUUGGUAACGCAGCUAACGCGUGAAGUAGACCGCCUGGGGAGUACGGUCGCAAGAUUA